rfam:Brassica oleracea var. oleracea cultivar TO1000 chromosome C7, whole genome shotgun sequence
ACCGUCUUAGCUCAGUGGUAGAGCACGUGACUGUUAAUCCGUGGCCGUCGGUUCGAUCUCUUCAGACGGCG